rnacentral:rRNA from 1 species
UUCUGGCUCAGGAUGAACGCUAGCUACAGGCUUAACACAUGCAAGUCGAGGGGCAGCAUUGGAGUAGCAAUACUCAGAUGGCGACCGGCGCACGGGUGAGUAACACGUAUCCAACCUGCCGCUUACUCGGGGAUAGCCUUUCGAAAGAAAGAUUAAUACCCGAUGGUAUAAAGAGUUCGCAUGUUCUCUUUAUUAAAGAAUUUCGGUAAGCGAUGGGGAUGCGUUCCAUUAGAUAGUUGGCGGGGUAACGGCCCACCAAGUCUACGAUGGAUAGGGGUUCUGAGAGGAAGGUCCCCCCACAUUGGAACUGAGACACGGUCCAAACUCCUACGGGAGGCAGCAGUGAGGAAUAUUGGUCAAUGGACGAGAGUCUGAACCAGCCAAGUAGCGUGAAGGAUGACUGCCCCUAUGGGUUGUAAACUGCUUUUGCAGGGGAAUAAAGUGCAUCACGUGUGAUGUUUUGUAUGUACUCUGCGAAUAAGGAUCGGCUAACUCCGUGCCAGCAGCAGC